GUAGGGUGCGAGCGCUAAUCGGAAUUACUGGGCGUAAAGCGUGCGCAGGCGGUUUUGUAAGCCGGAUGUGAAAUCCCCGGGCUUAACCUGGGAAUGGCAUUCGGGACUGCAAGGCUGGAGUGCGGCAGAGGAGACUGGAAUUCCUGGUGUAGCAGUGAAAUGCGUAGAUAUCAGGAGGAACACCGAUGGCGAAGGCAGGUCUCUGGGCUGACACUGACGCUCAUGCACGAAAGCGUGGGGAGCAAACAGGAUUAGAUACCCUGGUAGUCCACGCCCUAAACGAUGUCGACUGGUUGUUGGGGGUUUGACACUCUCAGUAACGAAGCUAACGCGUGAAGUCGACCGCCUGGGGAGUACGGCCGCAAGGUUA
rnacentral:rRNA from 1 species